rnacentral:lncRNA from 1 species
CUCAAUACACAUCAAAUUAUCUUUAUUUCCUCUCAUAUCAACAACCUCAAUAAAGAAGAUAUAAAACCUCGUUCCAGGCAGCAAAUUUGUAUUUGUAGGGGAGACAGGUGCAGUUAUUACACCUCUUGUUUGUGCUUAUAUUAUUCUUAACUGGUUCAAAUUAGACUCUCCAAAUUUUAACUCAACAAUUGUCCAAUAUCUUUCGAAUCCAUUGAAAGAUUAUACCCACCCAUCAAUAAUUUGAUCAUAAACUGCAUUUGACUGUGAUCGUCAAAUGGUGCAACUAUCCCCAUAUCCAUGGACGGUUGACGCGGUUAAAAUAAUCAAAAUUGAAUUGCCUAGGAUGUAAAUAAACCAGGGAAUGAUUCAAUAUCAUUUUCUCAUUUUAGUAGAUGGCGAACCAGUUCGGACCUGCGAUCCGUAAUAUCCCUAAAGCACAUCACUAAUCACCACAAUGUUCUACUACUGAUUGAAGCUUCUCUCCAAGAGGGUAGAUGGUCCUACGUAGGUAGAUAUACCCAGGUCGGUCAAGAGGUCAAGCCCCUAUUAUUGA